CAUAUACUCCCUCGGUCCCAAAAUUCUUGUCUUAGGUUUGUUUAAAUAUGAAUGUACCUAAAUAUUAAAACAUGACUAGAUACAUUUAUAUUUAGAUAAAUCUAAGAUGAUAAUUUUGGGACGGAAUGAGUACCUC
rfam:Hordeum vulgare subsp. vulgare, WGS project CAJW01000000 data, contig: morex_contig_274515